rnacentral:piRNA from 1 species
UAGCAGUGUUCCCACAUAUGAGGUGUGU